rnacentral:rRNA from 1 species
CCUACGGGGGGCUGCAGUGGGGAAUAUUGGACAAUGGGGGCAACCCUGAUCCAGCCAUGCCGCGUGUGUGAAGAAGGCCCUCGGGUUGUAAAGCACUUUCAGUGAGGAAGAACGCCUGGUGGUGAAUACCCAUCAGGAAAGACAUCACUCACAGAAGAAGCACCGGCUAACUCCGUGCCAGCAGCCGCGGUAAUACGGAGGGUGCGAGCGUUAAUCGGAAUUACUGGGCGUAAAGCGCGCGUAGGUGGCUUGAUAAGCCGGUUGUGAAAGCCCCGGGCUCAACCUGGGAACGGCAUCCGGAACUGUCAAGCUAGAGUGCAGGAGAGGAAGGUAGAAUUCCCGGUGUAGCGGUGAAAUGCGUAGAGAUCGGGAGGAAUACCAGUGGCGAAGGCGGCCUUCUGGACUGACACUGACACUGAGGUGCGAAAGCGUGGGUAGCAAACAGGAUUAGAUACCCCAGUAGUC